CGCAAGAGGAGCGGCAGACGGGUGAGUAACGCGUGGGAAUCUACCCAUCUCUACGGAACAACUCCGGGAAACUGGAGCUAAUACCGUAUACGUCCUUCGGGAGAAAGAUUUAUCGGAGAUGGAUGAGCCCGCGUUGGAUUAGCUAGUUGGUGGGGUAAUGGCCUACCAAGGCGACGAUCCAUAGCUGGUCUGAGAGGAUGAUCAGCCACAUUGGGACUGAGACACGGCCCAAACUCCUACGGGAGGCAGCAGUGGGGAAUAUUGGACAAUGGGCGAAAGCCUGAUCCAGCCAUGCCGCGUGAGUGAUGAAGGCCCUAGGG
rnacentral:rRNA from 1 species